rnacentral:lncRNA from 1 species
UCACCGUCACCGAACGCUCCUCUCUCUCCUCCCUCCCCCUCUAUAUGUAUAUAUAGAUAUAUCAGCUGUAGAUAUAACUGAGUCUCAGAUCUGUGUGUAUUGUUGUGUAUAUAUAUACACACACAUCUCUAUCUAUCUGUGUCGAGGAGUUUCCAUUUGUUGCGGCGGCCUCUAACUCGCUUGGUGCAGGUCGGGAACUGACUCGCCGGUGACGCUGUCCGCGCCGGAAUCGGCGCCCUUAGUCUCAAUCAUUUUUUGUUUAUAUGCAUCGAUAUUCAGAGAGCUCUCAUUAGGACUUAUUUGUUAGUAAUUUUUUGUUGUUGAAAUUAACUUGAUAUAUGUAUAGAUAAGUAGAGAGUGUUUACCCCCGGUUGGUUAAGUAAUAGAUAUGUAGAGACUGUUUGCCCACGGUUGGUUCCACGGUUGGUUAAGUAAUGGAUAUGUAGAGAGUUCAAUUUUUUUUAAUAGAUUAGUUAUGAAUGAAAUUGCGCCUCGUCAAUGGCUAAGUUUGUUCCCGCCUUGCAUCAACUGAAUCGGUGACCGCGGUGAAUUUGAUAUCUUUGGAUCGAUCUAUUCUCCGCUACACGAGGUUCGGUUUUCUUUCAUUUUGAUUCAAACUUUGCAUACAUUUUUAUCUGUAUCGUGUGCGUGCGUUUGUUUUUUCUCUUUCUUUGUUUAAUAUUUCUGUUGUGUAACUGAUUGGAUUUAUCUGGAUCUAGCUUUAUCUAUUGGUGUGUGCAGGUUCGUGCUCCCAGCUGUGUUUAUUUGUGCUUUCAUUUAGGAUGUUCAAAUUUGAAAUAAGUAAAAAGAAUUCCGGAUAUAUCAUUAAAAUCUAAUAUUUUACAUAUAUAUAUAGUGUAAUUUUCCGAUAAAGGUUAGUCAACUGGGACUAUGUACCUUCGCCCCUGCUUCAAAUGAUGCGAAGUUAGUUUUUUUCUUUUCCUUCCUUCCGUUUUAAGAUUGAUGAAGUUUCACUAAAAAUAAUAGUUGCGGAGAACAGGCAUAAUACUUUAAAAAUCCACCUGUGGAGAUUGCCAUGGAUUAAUCGUGCAAGUUUGAUGUGUAAGAGGAGGUUGUGCUUCAAUAGGGAAUGUUCAAAGUGAACAAUUUUAGUAAUGUUGACGGCAUUGAUGAAUCAUAGAUUGAAGUGAUGGAUUAAUUUUGGAAUAUCACGUGUUUUCAAAUGAAGAGAAGUGACUCUUGAAUUGUUAAUGACGAAUUAGAGAAUUUCUAUAUUUAUUUAUGUUUAUCUGGAUGUAGGAGAUACUAGUGCUGGAUGAUGGAUAUUUAAGUUUGAAAUAUCUGUAUUUUCUUUAUGCCAUUGAUAAAAUUGGAGUUACGAACACCAAAUGUUUUCUUGUUCACUCUGUUUCAAAUGACACCUGACACCGGCAUUAAUGUAGCUUCUGGCCUAUUAAUACAGUAAUCUAGAUAAGAUAUGAAAAUGUAGAUCCAGAAGGUAAAUUAUGCUGUAACUACAAAAGAUUUCAAAUUGAUGGUGCAUUUUUUAUCUUAACAUUACACACACAAUUUUUUGGAUGCUUUAAUCGCAUUAACUGCCUCCAUCUACGCCUUGUCAUCACCUUCUUUGG